rnacentral:rRNA from 1 species
CCCCGGUAAACGGCGGCCGUAACUAUAACGGUCCUAAGGUAGCGAAAUUCCUUGUCGGGUAAGUUCCGACCUGCACGAAUGGCGUAAUGAUGGCCAGGCUGUCUCCACCCGAGACUCAGUGAAAUUGAACUCGCUGUGAAGAUGCAGUGUACCCGCGGCAAGACGGAAAGACCCCGUGAACCUUUACUAUAGCUUGACACUGAACAUUGAGCCUUGAUGUGUAGGAUAGGUGGGAGGCUUUGAAGUGUGGACGCCAGUCUGCAUGGAGCCGACCUUGAAAUACCACCCUUUAAUGUUUGAUGUUCUAACGUGGACCCGUAAUCCGGGUUGCGGACAGUGUCUGGUGGGUAGUUUGACUGGGGCGGUCUCCUCCUAAAGAGUAACGGAGGAGCACGAAGGUUGGCUAAUCCUGGUCGGACAUCAGGAGGUUAGUGCAAUGGCAUAAGCCAGCUUGACUGCGAGCGUGACGGCGCGAGCAGGUGCGAAAGCAGGUCAUAGUGAUCCGGUGGUUCUGAAUGGAAGGGCCAUCGCUCAACGGAUAAAAGGUACUCCGGGGAUAACAGGCUGAUACCGCCCAAGAGUUCAUAUCGACGGCGGUGUUUGGCACCUCGAUGUCGGCUCAUCACAUCCUGGGGCUGAAGUAGGUCCCAAGGGUAUGGCUGUUCGCCAUUUAAAGUGGUACGCGAGCUGGGUUUAGAACGUCGUGAGACAGUUCGGUCCCUAUCUGCCGUGGGCGCUGGAGAACUGAGGGGGGCUGCUCCUAGUACGAGAGGACCGGAGUGGACGCAUCACUGGUGUUCGGGUUGUCAUGCCAAUGGCACUGCCCGGUAGCUAAAUGCGGAAGAGAUAAGUGCUGAAAGCAUCUAAGCACGAAACUUGCCCCGAGAUGAGUUCUCCCUGAGACUUAGAGUCUCCUGAAGGAACGUUGAAGACGACGACGUUGAUAGGCCGGGUGUGU